AUUGAACGCUGGCGGCAGGCCUAACACAUGCAAGUCGAGCGGAAACGAGUUAUCUGAACCUUCGGGGAACGAUAACGGCGUCGAGCGGCGGACGGGUGAGUAAUGCCUAGGAAAUUGCCCUGAUGUGGGGGAUAACCAUUGGAAACGAUGGCUAAUACCGCAUGAUGCCUACGGGCCAAAGAGGGGGACCUUCGGGCCUCUCGCGUCAGGAUAUGCCUAGGUGGGAUUAGCUAGUUGGUGAGGUAAGGGCUCACCAAGGCGACGAUCCCUAGCUGGUCUGAGAGGAUGAUCAGCCACACUGGAACUGAGACACGGUCCAGACUCCUACGGGAGGCAGCAGUGGGGAAUAUUGCACAAUGGGCGCAAGCCUGAUGCAGCCAUGCCGCGUGUGUGAAGAAGGCCUUCGGGUUGUAAAGCACUUUCAGUCGUGAGGAAGGUGGUGUAGUUAAUAGCUGCAUUAUUUGACGUUAGCGACAGAAGAAGCACCGGCUAACUCCGUGCCAGCAGCCGCGGUAAUACGGAGGGGCGAGCGUUAAUCGGAAUUACUGGGCGUAAAGCGCAUGCAGGUGGUUUGUUAAGUCAGAUGUGAAAGCCCGGGGCUCAACCUCGGAAUAGCAUUUGAAACUGGCAGACUAGAGUACUGUAGAGGGGGGUAGAAUUUCAGGUGUAGCGGUGAAAUGCGUAGAGAUCUGAAGGAAUACCGGUGGCGAAGGCGGCCCCCUGGACAGAUACUGACACUCAGAUGCGAAAGCGUGGGGAGCAAACAGGAUUAGAUCCCUGGUAGUCCACGCCGUAAACGAUGUCUACUUGGAGGUUGUGGCCUUGAGCCGUGGCUUUCGGAGCUAACGCGUUAAGUAGACCGCCUGGGGAGUACGGUCGCAAGAUUAAAACUCAAAUGAAUUGACGGGGGCCCGCACAAGCGGUGGAGCAUGUGGUUUAAUUCGAUGCAACGCGAAGAACCUUACCUACUCUUGACAUCCAGAGAACUUUCCAGAGAUGGAUUGGUGCCUUCGGGAACUCUGAGACAGGUGCUGCAUGGCUGUCGUC
rnacentral:rRNA from 1 species